AUGCUCACCCAAUCGGGUGUGAUGUUUGGUCAGGAGGGGAUGCAGCCAGGGGGUUUCAGCACCUCCAAGUCUGCUGUACCAGCUGCUGUUCACCGGCAGAAAACCGCUGACCAGGAGGGCCAAGGGCUCACGGGCGGGCCUCCUGCCCCGGAGGGCGCUGCACAACAGUGGCUGGAGGUCCCCAGCGUCUAUGCGGCCCGUUUGGGUGUCACUAGUGGCCAGGAGGGACUGAACCUGGGUGUGCCCGACUUUGCAAAUGGAGCAGCACAAGGGGCUGUUAAGUGUUUUUCGACAGCCACGAAUCUUCAAGACCAACUGUUGUUCCAGCCAGGUGUGCUGGAGGCCCUGCCGGGGGCUGUUGCUGCGAGGCUCUCGGCAUCUGUGGUGGCGGUUGACGCUACGGAUGAAAAUGUGUUGUUGAAAUUUAGUGCUAAUAAGAAUCAUAGGCAGGGCCAGCUAAAGAGGAUGGGGAAGAAAGAGAAAAAGGGAAGGAGUGAGAGCGCGGAAGAUGCUCGUAGGAUAGUAAUAGGUAAAAAAAGAGAACACAUACACGACGUUCCAUGCACAGGAAGUGACUUGGAGUUUUCUUUUGAGAAAGAGAUGGAUAGUUAUGAGCAUUUACUAUACGGCGACGUGAGUGUUUCUUCGAAACGAGUGUGUACUGGUAGAGUAGAAAGAGUGAAGGAUGUUUAUGGUGUUGUGACACAUGUCGCGAAGGAGUUAGAAGAGAAGGAGGAGGAGUAUGUGCAACAGAGAGAGGAGUCAGUUGGUGAAGAGAAGGAAGAAACUGGCGCAUCGGCAGCCUUUGAGGAGGAGGUCCGCCGGGCCAAAUGA
rnacentral:rRNA from 1 species